rnacentral:rRNA from 1 species
UACGUAGGGUGCAAGCGUUGUCCGGAAUUAUUGGGCGUAAAGAGCUCGUAGGCGGUUUGUCGCGUCUGCUGUGAAAACCCGAGGCUCAACCUCGGGCCUGCAGUGGGUACGGGCAGACUAGAGUGCGGUAGGGGAGAUUGGAAUUCCUGGUGUAGCGGUGGAAUGCGCAGAUAUCAGGAGGAACACCGGAGGCGAAGGCGGCGAACUGGACAGCAACUGACACUCAACUGCGAAAGCGUGGGGAGCAAACAGG